GAUCAUGGCUCAGGAUGAACGCUAGCGACAGGCCUAACACAUGCAAGUCGAGGGGCAGCGGAGAGGUAGCAAUACCUUUGCCGGCGACCGGCGCACGGGUGAGUAACACGUAUGCAAUCCACCUGUAACAGGGGGAUAACCCGGAGAAAUCCGGACUAAUACCCCAUAAUAUGGGCGCUCCGCAUGGAGAGCCCAUUAAAAGAGAGCAAUUUUGGUUACAGACGGAGCAUGCGCU
rnacentral:rRNA from 1 species